UACGUAGGGGGCGAGCGUUGUCCGGAUUUAUUGGGCGUAAAGAGCUCGUAGGCGGUGUGUCGCGUCGGCCGUGAAAACCUGCAGCUUAACUGUGGGCUUGCGGUCGAUACGGGCAGACUGGAGUACUGCAGGGGAGACUGGAAUUCCUGGUGUAGCGGUGAAAUGCGCAGAUAUCGGGAAGAACAACCCGUGGCGAAGGCGGUUCUACUGGG
rnacentral:rRNA from 1 species